AGCGAACGCUGGCGGCAGGCCUAACACAUGCAAGUCGAACGGAGUGGCGGACGGGUGAGUAACACGUGGGAACGUGCCCUUUGGUUCGGAACUACUCAGGGAAACUUGAGCUAUUACCGGAUGCCAUUGGAGCGGCCCGCGUCUGAUUCGUUAGUUGGUGAGGUAAAGGCUCACCAAGGCGACGAUCAGUAGCUGGUCUGAGAGGAUGAUCAGCCACAUUGGGACUGAGACACGGCGCCAACUCCUACGGGAGGCAGCAGUGGGGAAUCUUGCGCAAUGGGCGAAAGCCUGACGCAGCCAUGCCGCGUGAAUGAUGAAGGUCGUAGGAUAGUAAAAUUCUUUCACCGGUGACGCGGUACCCGGAGAAGAAGCCCCGGCUAACUUCGUGCCAGCAGCCGCGGUAAUAC
rnacentral:rRNA from 1 species